UACGGGGGGGCAAGCGUUGUUCGGAAUUACUGGGCGUAAAGGGCUCGUAGGUGGCCAACUAAGUCAGACGUGAAAUCCCUCGGCUUAACCGGGGAACUGCGUCUGAUACUGGAUGGCUAGAGUUUGGGAGAGGGAUGCGGAAUUCCAGGUGUAGCGGUGAAAUGCGUAGAUAUCUGGAGGAACACCGGUGGCGAAGGCGGCAUCCUGGACCAAUACUGACGCUGAGGAGCGAAAGCCAGGGGAGCAAAGCGGGAU
rnacentral:rRNA from 1 species